CGGCAGGCCUAACACAUGCAAGUCGAACGGUAACAUAGAUUGCUUGCAAUCUGAUGACGAGUGGCGCACGGGUGCGUAACGCGUAUGCAAUCUACCUUUUACAGGAGAAUAGCCCAGAGAAAUUUGGAAUAAUGCUCCAUAAUAUCAUUUAUCAGCAUUGGUUUAUGAUUAAAGCUCCGGCGGUAAAAGAUGAGCAUGCGUUCUAUUAGUUAGUAGGUGAGGUAACGGCUCACCUAGACCACGAUAGAUAGGGGCCCUGAGAGGGGGAUCCCCCACACUGGUACUGAGACACGGACCAGACUCCUACGGGAGGCAGCAGUGAGGAAUAUUAGACAAUGGGCGAAAGCCUGAUCUAGCCAUGCCGCGUGCAGGAUGACGGCCCUAUGGGUUGUAAACUGCUUUUAUACAGGAAGAAAAAACUCUACGUGUAGAGUCUUGACGGUACUGUAAGAAUAAGGAUCGGC
rnacentral:rRNA from 1 species